rnacentral:lncRNA from 1 species
GCGCCUCCCUGGAGGCGCCCGCUCCUGCCCGGAGCCCUGCCCGUCUUGGGCCCGCCCUUCCGGGCCCUGCCGCGUUGAGUGGCGGAGUCGGGAUCCAGGUGGCCCGCCGGCCGGCUCAGUCCACCUCCCCGCUCCCGGCCUCGCGCCCCACCCCUUGGAUGAGAAAACUGAAACUGAGAGGGGACGUGACUGAUCCAACGUCAUACAGAAAGUCAGGCCCUGGGGAGUACAGGGCCAGGCCUGGGGCAAAAGGCCGGUGGGCGUCCAGUACGCCACAGGGACCAGCCAAAGGAGGCAGUGCCCAGUGAUGCUUUCCCAAAUCCAGGGGAGAAGGACUCAACGGCCCAACCCAGAGCUGGAUCACAAGGAAGACUGGAAGCUCCACUCCCCCAUGGAGCUUCCCUGUUACCAGAGGACACAAACACACAUCUGCAUGUUGAUCUGAGAGCCCUGUGUGGAGAGGAACUAGGCCCCCAGCCAACAACCAGCAGUGACUCACUGUGAGAGAGUGAAUCAUCUUGGAAGUGGAUCCUAAGCCCCAAUAGAGACUUCAGAUGAAACUGCAACCCUGGCUGACAUCUGACUGCAGUGGCA